CUGCUCACUUCGGCAGCACACAUACUAAAAUUGCAACGAUAACAGAGAAGCUGAGCAUGGUCCAUGCACUAGGAUGACACAGAAAUUUGUGAAGCGUUCCAUUCUUUU
rnacentral:snRNA from 1 species